UACGAAGGGGGCUAGCGUUGCUCGGAAUCACCGGGCGUAAAGGGCGCGUAGGCGGCCAUUCAAGUCAGAGGUGAAAGCCCAAGGCUCAACCUUGGAAUUGCCUUUGAUACUGUUUGGCUUGAGACCGGAAGAGGUUAGUGGAACUGCGAGUGUAGAGGUGAAAUUCGUAGAUAUUCGCAAGAACACCAGUGGCGAAGGCGGCUAACUGGUCCGGUUCUGACGCUGAGGCGCGAAAGCGUGGGGAGCAAACAGG
rnacentral:rRNA from 1 species